CCAAUCAGCGUGAUAUCCCCUCCUUAUCUCGGAAUUUCUAACGAAUCUUGGGAAAAACAAAUUUUACGCAGAUUUACUCGUCUGUCGUCUACCGCAGAUAACCGAAAACAAUGUUUGCCACAUAUACAUCAUCUGAAGGCGAAUAUAGAUAUCUUCAUGCGUUAAUUUAUUUCGUUUUUAUAUGCAUCCUUCACUACUUUAAUACACUUUUGCGACGACGUUUUCGCCUAGAGUUGCGUUAUAUUCAAUAGUUUGCGUCAGGUUCCAAUGUUAUAAUUUUGCAGAGAAUAGUUAGAUGAGUAAAUGUUUGCGUCUACAUCAAAUGUCACAACAGUCGAGAAUAUCAUCUGCAUCACUUUCCGAAAGAAGACAAUCCCCAUCAUAAGGAUUGAAUUUGAAAAGUUGGCAAUCUCUUCCUAAAAUAUUAUACCCGCAACUCUUUAAGAAGCAUGAAUGUCCGUGGCGAUCAUUGUUUACCCGAAAUCGUCAAACAAAAUCGUACAAAAAAUACGAAUAGACGAAAAAGCAUACUGUAUCCGAACAACCAACAAAUUUAUUACAAAAUAAAAGAGAAAGAGAAAUUGUACAAGAAAGACGGCACGAUAUCGAAAAGCAGCUGGUCAGAAAAGAAGGGCAAGUGAAAGUAGGACGACAUGAAUGCAACUACUAUCACUACCAGCAAUAGCAAGAAGCGGAUGAAGGGUGGAUAAGAUAAGACGAGGAGAAAAUGAAUUAUUUGGUAAUAUACCAAUGCUAGACUAUACAAGAGUACCGCUAAGAUUCGCUUACAACGAGGAUUCAAUUGAACGGCUAGCAAUUGAAUGGCAGACGAGCUGCGACUUUCAAAUUGAGAAAAGCCUAGGGAAGUCUUUCCGAGAAAUAGAAUUGCAAAAUGAACAUGCUCUGCUGUUGAAAGAAAAUAAAAAUUUGAAAGCACGAAUAAAAUAUGUCAAAUAGAACCUCUAAAGAACCGAAAUAUCCAGAAAUCAAUUGCGUGAAAAGUUGAGGAGAUUAGAUGUCUCGAGGUGGAAACAUUUAUGUAAGGUCAAAAUACGUGCUCAAGUUCAGUGAAGGAAAUGUUGCAAAAUGAUGGCCAUAGAGACAGAAAAUAAAAAAUUUACUGCAUCAGUAAAAAUUGUACAACUAAAAAAUUCCUUGAAGACGAAUCACAUCUUCUCCCAAAAAGAGGACGCUCCAUCAUAGCGAGCGAAGGUGCGGUUUCCUGCUGGCCCCGGAAACUCUUUUAUUCGUAAGAUGAAGCAAAACGAUCGCUAUGAAGUCAACCUGUGAAGCAAUCGUUUUCUGAAUUCCAUAGUUUCUGAAGAAUCGAUUCUUUCGGUGAUUCUAGGAGCAUUCAAAGAAUAACUUUUCGGUACAGCGGAGGAAGGCCCGAGGCUGGACGACAUCAAGAAAGAAAGACGCAGGUCUCAAAA